UACGUAGGGUGCGAGCGUUAAUCGGAAUUACUGGGCGUAAAGGGCGCGUAGGCGGGCCCGUAUGUCGAUUGUGAAAGCCCUGGGCUCAACCUGGGAAUUGCAGUCGAAACUGCGGGUCUUGAAUGCUUGAGGGGAUGGCGGAAUUUCCGGUGUAGAAGUGAAAUUCGUAGAUAUCGGAAAGAACACCUGAGGCGAAGGCGGCUAUCUGGCGAUGCAUUGACGCUGAGGCGCGAAAGCGUGGGGAGCAAACAGG
rnacentral:rRNA from 1 species